GCGUGCCUAAUACAUGCAAGUCGAACGAACUCUGGUAUUGAUUGGUGCUUGCAUCAUGAUUUACAUUUGAGUGAGUGGCGAACUGGUGAGUAACACGUGGGAAACCUGCCCAGAAGCGGGGGAUAACACCUGGAAACAGAUGCUAAUACCGCAUAACAACUUGGACCGCAUGGUCCGAGUUUGAAAGAUGGCUUCGGCUAUCACUUUUGGAUGGUCCCGCGGCGUAUUAGCUAGAUGGUGAGGUAACGGCUCACCAUGGCAAUGAUACGUAGCCGACCUGAGAGGGUAAUCGGCCACAUUGGGACUGAGACACGGCCCAAACUCCUACGGGAGGCAGCAGUAGGGAAUCUUCCACAAUGGACGAAAGUCUGAUGGAGCAACGCCGCGUGAGUGAAGAAGGGUUUCGGCUCGUAAAACUCUGUUGUUAAAGAAGAACAUAUCUGAGAGUAACUGUUCAGGUAUUGACGGUAUUUAACCAGAAAGCCACGGCUAACUACGUGCCAGCAGCCGCGGUAAUACGUAGGUGGCAAGCGUUGUCCGGAUUUAUUGGGCGUAAAGCGAGCGCAGGCGGUUUUUUAAGUCUGAUGUGAAAGCCUUCGGCUCAACCGAAGAAGUGCAUCGGAAACUGGGAAACUUGAGUGCAGAAGAGGACAGUGGAACUCCAUGUGUAGCGGUGAAAUGCGUAGAUAUAUGGAAGAACACCAGUGGCGAAGGCGGCUGUCUGGUCUGUAACUGACGCUGAGGCUCGAAAGUAUGGGUAGCAAACAGGAUUAGAUACCCUGGUAGUCCAUACCGUAAACGAUGAAUGCUAAGUGUUGGAGGGUUUCCGCCCUUCAGUGCUGCAGCUAACGCAUUAAGCAUUCCGCCUGGGGAGUACGGCCGCAAGGCUGAAACUCAAAGGAAUUGACGGGGGCCCGCACAAGCGGUGGAGCAUGUGGUUUAAUUCGAAGCUACGCGAAGAACCUUACCAGGUCUUGACAUACUAUGCAAAUCUAAGAGAUUAGACGUUCCCUUCGGGGACAUGGAUACAGGUGGUGCAUGGUUGUCGUCAGCUCGUGUCGUGAGAUGUUGGGUUAAGUCCCGCAACGAGCGCAACCCUUAUUAUCAGUUGCCAGCAUUAAGUUGGGCACUCUGGUGAGACUGCCGGUGACAAACCGGAGGAAGGUGGGGAUGACGUCAAAUCAUCAUGCCCCUUAUGACCUGGGCUACACACGUGCUACAAUGGAUGGUACAACGAGUUGCGAACUCGCGAGAGUAAGCUAAUCUCUUAAAGCCAUUCUCAGUUCGGAUUGUAGGCUGCAACUCGCCUACAUGAAGUCGGAAUCGCUAGUAAUCGCGGAUCAGCAUGCCGCGGUGAAUACGUUCCCGGGCCUUGUACACACCGCCCGUCACACCAUGAGAGUUUGUAACACCCAAAGUCGGUGGGGUAACCUUUUAGGAACCAGCCGCCUAAGGUGG
rnacentral:rRNA from 1 species